UUUUAAGUUUAAUAGUAAUUGAUUAUUUGUUAAAUAUAUUUAUAAAAAAAAGUUUAUAUAUAUUAGUAUUUAGUAGAGAAAAAGUUUUUAAUUUGUACCGAGAGGGAGGGUUAAUAUUAUAAUUAUAGUAAAUUUUAAAAUUUGUACCUUUUGCAUAAUGGUUUAAUAAUAUUUAUUAAUAUAUAUUAUUAUCUCGAAAUAUGAAGAUUUAUUUGCUUUAUAUAUAUAUAUAUAUAUAUAUAUUAUAGUUGACGUGGUAUAGUCAUUAUAUUAAAGGUAAAUGGUAGUGAAAUGCUAUUCGAUUUAUAUGGUAGCUAGUUUAUUUAUAUAUUCAUUUUAGUGUUGAUUAAAGUUAAUUAUGUUAGUAAUAGUAAUUUUGGUUUAGAUAUUGGGGGAUAAGCUUCAUAUAUAAUGUGAGAAAUUAAAUUGGUAUUAUUAGUUAAUUUAAGUUGAAAUAAUAUUUUUUCUUUAUAGAUAUUAUAAUAUUAUUUAAUAUAGUUUCUUUAUAUUUUAUUAAAUAAAUGUCUUUUAAUUAUAAAUUUAAGUUAAAUAUAAUGUUAAAAUGAGUAUUAGAAAUGAUAAUGAUUAAGCUUAUUUAAUAUUUAAUAAUAUUACGUAUUAUAUUAUAGAUUAUAAGGUUUUAAAUAAUAAUGUUAUAAAUGAAAUAAAAUAAAGGAAUUCGGCAAGAAUAAAAUUUCGCCUGUUUAUCAAAAACAUGUCUCUUUGAGUUAUAUUAAUAGAGAGUUGGGCCUGCUCGGUGAUUUAUAUUUAACAGCUGCGGUAUUAUAACUGUACUAAGGUAGCAUAAUAAUUUGCUCUAUAAAUUGGGGCUAGAAUGAAUGGUUUGACGAAAAUUAAUCUGUCUCUGUUUUAUUUAUUAGAAAUUAAUUUUUAUAGUGAAAAAGCUUAAAUAGUUUAAAGGGACGAAAAGACCCUAUUGAGCUUAUAUUAAUAUUUAUAGUAUUAUAAGUAUAUAUAUAUAUAUAUAUAUAUAUAUAUAUAUAUAUAUAUAUAUAGAGUAUAUGUUAUAAAUAUAUUAAUUUUGGUUGGGGUGAUCAAGGAAUAAAGUAUAGAAAAAUUUUUAUAUAACUUCCUUAAUUUUUAAUUUUAUUGAUUAAUAAACCAAUAUUUUUGCUUAUAUGAUAAGUUACCAUAGGGAUAACAGCGUAAUUUUUUUUGAGAGUUCAUAUUGAAAAAAGAGAUUGCGACCUCGAUGUUGGAUUAAAGUAACCUUAAGGUGUAGAGGCUUUAUUAGGUAAAUCUGUUCGAUUUUUAAAAUUUUACAUGAUCUGAGUUCAAACCGGUGAGAGCCAGGUUGGUUUUUAUCUUUUAAAUUAGUUUUGUAAUUUAAUUUAGUACGAAAGGAUUAAUUAUAAUUAAUUAUAUUAAAUUAAUAUAAAUAAAUGUGUUA
rnacentral:rRNA from 1 species